UAAUCUUCUUAUGUUGGCUCCUCUCCUUCAUGACUGCUGAAAAGUAUUUAUUGUUGGAAUCCCCUAGUUUGAUCCAUUUAGCUCUUGACUUUUGCUGCAUAACUGACUCUUCAAUUAAUGACCAUUUCUCUAGCUGCUGUGCCAUAGAUUUUGCUCUUUGCUGAAGUGUGUUUGAGUAAGAGAUAUCCAUUUGAUGCUGCACUUUUUCCAGUUCUUUCCUGCUGCUUUCAAUCUUCUGAGAAAUAUUCUUAAAAUCUCCAAUAUUAAGAGAUUUUAAGUGAGGUUUGAGAGACUUAAGAUUAUUCCAUACUCCUUGAAGAGU
rnacentral:lncRNA from 1 species